rnacentral:rRNA from 1 species
GAUGAACGCUGGCGGCGUGCCUAAUACAUGCAAGUCGAGCGAACAGACGAGGAGCUUGCUCCUCUGACGUUAGCGGCGGACGGGUGAGUAACACGUGGAUAACCUACCUAUAAGACUGGGAUAACUUCGGGAAACCGGAGCUAAUACCGGAUAAUAUAUUGAACCGCAUGGUUCAAUAGUGAAAGACGGUUUUGCUGUCACUUAUAGAUGGAUCCGCGCCGCAUUAGCUAGUUGGUAAGGUAACGGCUUACCAAGGCAACGAUGCGUAGCCGAACUGAGAGGGUGAUCGGCCACACUGGAACUGAGACACGGUCCAGAAUCCUACGGGAGGCAGCAGUAGGGAAUCUUCCGCAAUGGGCGAAAGCCUGACGGAGCAACGCCGCGUGAGUGAUGAAGGUCUUCGGAUCGUAAAACUCUGUUAUUAGGGAAGAACAAAUGUGUAAGUAACUAUGCACGUCUUGACGGUACCUAAUCAGAAAGCCACGGCUAACUACGUG